rnacentral:lncRNA from 1 species
AUGGCGGGGUGGUUACUAUGGUUCCUUAGGUCGUAUUUGAUGGCCCGUAAAAUUUAUAGGCGAUCGGGGUUCAGGGUUCCCGGGACCCCUUGGUAGGCGUGGGCUAAUGCACACGAAAAUAUGGAAAUCAUGCGAAAUUCUAGUUUUUUGGCUGAAAAACACAAAAUACUAGGAACGAUCAUGGCGGGGCGGUGACUAUGGUUCCUUAGGUUGUAUUUGAUAGUCCGGAAAAUUUUUAGGCGAUCCGGCUCCGGGGGGCCCGACCCACUCAGAAGGCGUGGGCGAUAUAGCACACAAAAAUAUGGGAAUCGGGAGUAAUUCUAGUUUUUUGGCCAAAAAAUGCAAAAAAUGAGGAACGAUCAUGGCGAUUCGGUGACUAUGGUUCCUUAGGUCUUAAUUGAUGGCCCGAAAUCUUUUUAGGCGAUCCGAGACCGGCGACCCGGCCCACUCGGAAGGCGUGGGCGGAAUUCUAGAUUUUUUGGCCGAAAAAUGCAAUAAAUGAGGAACGAUCAUGGUGGGGUGGUGACUAUGGUUCCUUAGGUCUUAUUUGAUAGUCCGGAAAAAUAUUAGGCGAUAGGGGUCAGGAGGUCCCAGGACCACUCGGAAGGCGUGGGCUAUAACACACAAAAAUA